CACCCGCAGCACAAGUGGUGGUCACUUUUAUUGAGCCUAAAGCGUUCGUAGCCGGUUUUGUAAAUCUUCAGGUAAAUCCUGAAGCCUAACUUCAGAAGGCCUGAAGAGACUGCAAAACUUGAGAUCGGGUGAGGUUAAACGUACUUUCAGGGUAGGGGUAAAAUCCUGUAAUCCUGGAAGGACGACCGGUGGCGAAGGCGUUUAACUAGAACGAAUCUGACGGUGAGGAACGAAGGCUAGGGUAGCAAACCGG
rnacentral:rRNA from 1 species